rnacentral:rRNA from 1 species
GAUGAACGCUGGCGGCGUGCCUAAUACAUGCAAGUCGAGCGAACGGACGAGAAGCUUGCUUCUCUGAUGUUAGCGGCGGACGGGUGAGUAACACGUGGAUAACCUACCUAUAAGACUGGGAUAACUUCGGGAAACCGGAGCUAAUACCGGAUGAUAUUUUGAACCGCAUGGUUCAAAAGUGAAAGACGGUCUUGCUGUCACUUAUAGAUGUAUCCGCGCUGCAUUAGCUAGUUGGUAAGGUAACGGCUUACCAAGGCAACGAUGCAUAGCCGACCUGAGAGGGUGAUCUGCCACACUGGAACUGAGACACGGUCCAGACUCCUACGGGAGGCAGCAGUAGGGAAUCUUCCGCAAUGGGCGAAAGCCUGACGGAGCAACGCCGCGUGAGUGAUGAAGGUCUUCGGAUCGUAAAACUCUGUUAUUAGGGAAGAACAUAUGUGUAAGUACCUGUGCACAUCUUGACGGUACCUAAUCAGAAAGCCACGGCUAACUACGUG